UACGUAGGGUGCAAGCGUUGUCCGGAAUUAUUGGGCGGAAAGAGCUCGUAGGCGGCUUGUUGCGUCGGUUGUGAAAGCCCGGGGCUUAACCCCGGGUCUGCAGUCGAUACGGGCAGGCUAGAGUGUGGUAGGGGAGAUCGGAAUUCCUGGUGUAGCGGUGAAAUGCGCAGAUAUCAGGAGGAACACCGGUGGCGAAGGCGGAUCUCUGGGCCAUUACUGACGCUGAGGAGCGAAAGCGUGGGGAGCGAACAGG
rnacentral:rRNA from 1 species